rnacentral:rRNA from 1 species
UACAGAGGUCUCAAGCGUUGUUCGGAUUCAUUGGGCGUAAAGGGUGCGUAGGCGGCUCGGUAAGUCGGAUGUGAAAUCUCGGGGCUUAACUCCGAAACUGCAUUCGAUACUGCCGUGCUUGAGGACUGGAGAGGAGACUGGAAUUUACGGUGUAGCGGUGAAAUGCGUAGAUAUCGUAAGGAAGACCAGUGGCGAAGGCGGGUCUCUGGACAGUCCCUGACGCUGAGGCACGAAGGCCAGGGGAGCAAACGGG